UACAGGUGGGAUUGCGUUUUGAAUAUUAAAUAGGCAUUAAGUGUGAUUAGGUGGCCAAGAUUCUAUAAGGAUAUCGGCUUGAGUUAGAAGAGGAGAGUUAGAGGAAUAACCAAAGGAAGGAUGAAAUCUAUAGAUAUUGGUUGGAACAUCAACAGCUAACAGCAUCACUCUAUUUUCUAACUGACACUGAAUCACUAAAGUGUGGGGAGCAAAACGG
rnacentral:rRNA from 1 species